AACCUGCGGAGGAUCAUUA
rnacentral:rRNA from 1 species